rnacentral:rRNA from 1 species
UACGUAGGGGGCAAGCGUUGUCCGGAUUUAUUGGGCGUAAAGAGCGUGUAGGCGGCCAUACAGGUCAGCUGUGAAAACUCGAGGCUCAACCUCGAGACGUCGGUUGAAACCGUAUGGCUAGAGUCCGGAAGAGGAGAGUGGAAUUCCCGGUGUAGCGGUGAAAUGCGCAGAUAUCGGGAAGAACACCCGUGGCGAAGGCGGCCUGCUGGGCAGUUGCUGACACUGAGGCGCGACGGCGUGGGGAGCAAACAGG